CUGGGAUGAACUUCUAAACACCUGCUGUGGUUGAAACUGUUCUUACAUCAUCUCCUGUACACAGUGACUUUAAUCACAUGAAAUCAUGAGAGGAGGCUUCACCCAAUUCCUGGUCAUUUGGGUAGCACCAAUGGAAUUCAUCCAGAGUAAUACAUUUUGUAGAGCUCCUGUAAAGGUGAGAUCAGAAUCAGGUCCACUGUCUCCAGGUAGGUCCAAGGUAUGCUAAUUGUCAAUAUUAAGAUUCUAAAACUUUCUUGGAUAAACUGUAAUAUAACUUUUCUUACCUAUAAAGCUUCAUGAAUGUUCAGCAUGGUUUCUGGGUAGAGAUCACAUCAGCUCCACAGUUAUUAAUUUACAGAUUUCUCACUAACCUUAGCUCAGCUCUGGGAAUGGUGCCAGCACAAUUACGGUAACUC